AGUCAGAAUUAGUUUCAUUGGCCAAGAGUUCUAGUGACAGUUGUUGCCCUUAAGCGCCACCUGGUGUUGGAGAAAGGUGAAGCUUUUCGUGUUACUCUUGCCACCUCUGACUUGAGAAGGAAAAGCAGAGGAGGUUUUGCAGCAGCUCUAGCAUCCUUGGUACCUCGUUAAGAGAGACAACCUGCCCUGCAUAAUGAUGAGUUUCAUUUUGAAUUCACAGAACAGCAUCUGGCAGAAUGGGUUCCCAUAGCCUAGAAGGAGCUAGUUUGAUGAGCUUUGUAGUUAAAGAGACUGGUAGAGGAUACUGAAGUCUUGUCACUUUCAAAAGGUCCAUGAGUUAGAACCAUGCCAUUUUUUAGCCAACAAAUCUAGUACCAGUACCCCAAGGAUUGAGGAUUCAGCACUCAGCCUAAUGGGGUGCUAGUCAAAGAGAGCUAAUAUGGGAAGACCAAGAAUGGGGCUUAAGCUGACAAGAGCCGAGAAGACCACCCCAGGCCGUCAGAAAUGUAGACACAUGUCAAAUAUUGCAGGUUCAGUUCCAGACCAGUGCAAUAAAAUGAUUGCAAUAAAUAAUAUAUUUAUUUUUAUAAUAACAUGAUUUUAUAAUUAAGAAAGAAAUAUUGCAAUAAAGUGAGUUUCC